ACAGGUGGGCAUACUUUCAUUUCAUUUCAGAAGUGCAUAUAGCCUUGCACGAUGGAGUUAAUAAAGUGGACAUAAUUAAGUAAAAAAGUGAUGGACUAAAAGCCCUCUCAUGUGGAGCAAUAAAAAGUUAUUAUCUGAAAUCACUGAAGACACAUUUCGCAUGUUCAGUAUAAAAACUAUGUGUGUUCUGGACUGCACGUUGUGUCACCUUAUACAUUUCUCACCAUGAUACAUAUUCAAGUGUACCACUGCCAUCAUCAUCAAUAAUGGAAGCAACAGAAUACAGAGUCCAGUUUGGUAUUCCAGAGGUUUUUAAGGCUAAAAUAUAAAAAUCAAUGUCUUCCUAUGGUUCAAUUGUAGUAAUAACAUUUAAAGGACAUUUUAAAUGAGACAUUUGCCAAUGCCCUGGAAAAAGAGCUCUUUAGCUAGCUAGCAGCGUGGUACCGUGGGCAGCAAUGUUGGUAAGUUGGUCUGUCAGACCACCACUUUGAUGCAAACUGAGAAACACAUAUAUGUUAAUUUUGAAAAUCCAGUUUCUACGUAAUUUCUUCACAGAUUAAUUCAUGGGGGAUGCUAACCUAAACAUUGCUAUUUAAGACUCCAAUUUCCCACAGUUAACUGUGCAAAACCCAAAAUUAUCUGCAUGGAAAGGUACCACUGAGGAUAGCAAGAAAAAUAUAUUUUUGUAAUUUGGGUGAACUGACCCUUUAAUGGAUUAGGAGGCAAUUCCAGGCUGAUUUCUUUGUUAGUUAGUCUAUAAUUGUGAUCAUCUUUGGCCUAACUUAAAAUUGCACUCACAGUGUAAUGCCCAAAGUUGGAAUGCACUAUUUUGCUUUUCUCCCUGGGGAACCAUAAACCAGGUCAGGUGAAGUGUUUGGCACUACUUGUGGUUUUCAAAAAUUACUUUCCUUUUUUACUUUUCAAUUAUUUUGACCUGCCUUUGACCUUUUUGAAGACCACAGGAGCCACUGAAAAUGGGACUGCAUGGGGGGCAUGAACACAGGCACACUGGGAGCUUUUUGGAGAUUUAAAAUACCAGGUCAGUACUUUUUGAUAGAAUUUUUGAUAGAGAGAAGUCUUUAAUUUCUGAUUUGGACACCAAAUCUGACAUUUCCUAUUUGUUUGCAAUCCCUGAAACAGGGAUUUCAUAUUUUGCCUGUCACAGUUGGUCCUGUGACAGUUGGAGGUUGCUUCCUUUGUUUUCUUUUCCUGUGGUGUUCUGUGGGCGUGUAGGUGUGUCUUUCCCUUGGCAGGGAGCUGGUCGCCCGGCAAGGCUACACACCUGUUGCCAAUCCUCAUCUACACCUGGUCUUAAGAUGUGGGGCUCCCUGAGACUCGUCGCCAGAUUAUUCCUAGCCGUAACUUGUUGCCGAGUCCGCUGUCAUUUGCCCUGCUUGGAGGAUCUCUAGGAGAGCGGAUUGCCCCUGCCCAGGACUGCCUGCCCCUGCUCACAUCUCACCCACUAUCAUUUUGUACUAGUCCUUUGUGAAUAAACUCUUUACUUUGA